GGGGCAUAACACCUGUUUUAGGUUUCUGGAAAGACAAAAUCAUCUUUUACUAUAUAACCAAAGGUCCUAGACCCAUGGGGUCUUCAGCAAUGACAUUGGGGACUAAUGACCUUGACAAAGGUCAAAAGGUCAAAGGUCAAGGUCAUGUCCCAUAUAGCGAAUUUGGUGUUUUUAACCUUAUUUAAAGGUUUUUCAGUGUGUUUUAAAGCUUUUCAAUACAUUCUACGUCUAUUUGAACAUGUAUUUUACAUUACAAAAGGAAAGACCUCUCAAUUGUUCAAGAACAAUUGACAGUUUAAUUAUUAUUAUUUUUU
rnacentral:lncRNA from 1 species